GAAAGCCAGGCCGGCUAAGAACAUCCUAACGUAUUGGCUCAAAGCAUCUAUUUCUCAUUUUCCCCCUUUGAACCCACCACACAUAAAAGCCCCGAUUGACAAGGAAGAGCAGAAAGCGCACCGCUCCUGAUCUGCAUCCAUUACAGAGCUCAGUCUGGUGUGAGCAUUCAUGCCUACAGCACUGCCCAGCGGCUUCCUGCUCUGCACCAGGCGCCUGCCCUCUGCUCACACUCGGGGACCUUCAUCGGUUCUCUGCCUGCAUAUCAAGCAUGAGGAGCUGGCUUCAAUGGCUCCAGAGAAUAAACUCAGGUUUAAUCAACUUGAUACCUGUUUUUAUUAUGGCAACCUGUAACCUAGAUGUGUCUAUAAAG
ensembl:lincRNA 1700003I22Rik RIKEN cDNA 1700003I22 gene